GCGGCUUUAGCUCACUUGGGAGAGCGCCAGACUGAAGAUCCAACUUCAGGAAUAAACCUUGAACUUCGAACUUUCGAACUUUGAUAUCUGGAGGCACUGUGUUCGAUCCACAGAAGCCGCA